UUAUCACUGUAGGAUGGGGCUGUGGCUCAUCAGGUAGUUGGCGAGGUAACGGCUCACCAAGCCUAUGACGGGUACGGGCCGUGAAAGCGGAUGCCCGGAGUUGGGUUCUGAGACAAGAAUCCAGGCCCUACGGGGCGCACCAGGCGCGAAACCUCCACAAUGCGGGAAACCGUGAUGGGGGGAAUCCGAGUGCUUGUUGGCGAAAUGCUGGCAGGCUUUUGUAGAGCGUAAAAGGCUCUAAGAAUAAGGACUGGGUAAGACCGGUGCCAGCCGCCGCGGUAACACCGGCGGUCCAACUGGUGAUCAGCAUUAUUGGGUCUAAAGCGUCCGUAGCCGGAUGGUUGGAUUCUGAGUGAAAUUUGCAGGCUUAACCUGCAAGCGUGCUUGGAACACCCGCCAUCUUGGGACCGGGAGAGGUAGGGGGUAGGCCUCGGGUAGAAGUAAAAUUCUAUAAUCCGAGGAGGACCACCAGUGGCGAAGGCGCCCUACCAGAACGGGUCCGACGGUGAGGGACGAAGGCCAGGGGAGCAAACCGGAUUAGAUACCCGGGUAGUCCUGGCUGUAAACGAUGCGGACUAUGUUUUGCGGAUUCUACGAGAGUCUGCAGGGCCGUAGUGAAGAUGUUAAGUCCGCCACCUGGGGAGUAUGGCCGCAAGGCUGAAACUUGAAGGAAUUGGCGGGGGGGCACCACAAGGGGUGGGACCUGCGGUUCAAUUGGAUUCAACGCCGUGAACCUCACCUGAGCCGACGGCAGAAUGAAGGUCAGUCUGAAGGGCUUACCGGACAAGCCGAAGGGUGUUGCAUGGCCGCCGACAGCUCGUGUCAUGAGAUGUCCGCUUAAGUGCGGCAACGAGCGAGACCCGUACCAUCAGUUGCUAAUCAAUUCUCCGGAAUUGAUGCACUUUGAUGGGACAGCUAGUGAUAAAUUAGAGGAAGGGGCGGGCGACGGUAGGUCAGUAUGGCCCUACAUGCUCAGGGCUACACGCGGGUCACAAUGGUUGGGACAGUAGGCUGCGACUCCGUAAGGGGAAGCCAAUCCCAUAAACCCAAUCCUAGUUCAGAUUGAGGGCUGCAACCCGCCCUCAUGAAGCCGGAAUCCCCAGUAAUCGGGUGUCAACAACGCCCGGUGAAUACGUCCCUGCUCCUUGCACACACCGCCCGUCAAGCCACUCAAGUGAGCUCUGGGUGAGGUCGCCCUUCUUGGGGUGAACGAGCCUGGGGUCUGUGAGAGGGGCUAAGUCGUAACAAGGUA
rnacentral:rRNA from 1 species